rnacentral:snRNA from 1 species
GUGCUUGCUUCAGCAGCAUAUAUACUAAAAUUGGAACUAUACAAAGAAGAUUAGCAUGGCCCCUGUGCAAGGAUGACACGCAAAUUUGUGAAGUGUUCCAUAUAUAU